GCCCCGGUAGCUCAGUGGCGGAGCGGCAGCCUCGUAAGCUGUAGGCCGCGGGUUCAAAUCCCGCUCGGGGCU
rnacentral:tRNA from 1 species